rnacentral:misc_RNA from 1 species
GAUGCGGUAGGCUUUUCCAACUCUGCGUUUUAGGUUUAAAGUUGCCUAUCCUAUACGACCUCUAUUAGUGGACUAGCAACUAAUUGAUUCCCUCCCUCCUAUUAGUGGGCUUAACAACUAAUUGAUUUUCUCCCUCCUGUUGGUGGACUUAACAACUAAUUGAUUUUCUCUUCUUUAGCAUAUCAAUGACCUUGACAAUAAAUGGAUAAUGCUGCCUGGUCUUGUGUGGUACCCUGUUUCCCUAGGUUACUCUACUUCCUC